rnacentral:lncRNA from 1 species
UUGAAUACAAUUUUUUUUGAAUUUUUUUUAUUUUUUUCAAUUACAAUAUCGUAGUGCCGGAAAUGUCGAUCUUACUCUGAUUCAGCUAGCUCUGAUACCAACUUGAUAUGCAGUCACUUCGAUAAAGAAUUGAGUCGUAAUUGUUUGCUCGGUCGUGAAUGGAGUAAUUUUUAAAGCUUGCUGAAAUUAGGUUAAGGAAGAAGCAAUAAAGGCUCAAAUUGGUUCAAAAGAAGUUAUGGGAUGUUUGAGAUUUAUAGAUGAACGUAAACCAAGUAUUCAAGUUGAACUAACACAAUAUAAGUGUGUUAACCCAAAACUUAUAUGAAUGCUUAGGUUGGGAUAAUAACGGUUGGAAGAUAGGUAAAAGAAAUGCAACCUCGACCCACUAUCAAUAUUGAUAGGAACCUCGGUAUAAUUUGAACGCCACACUUUAUGGAUAAAGUGAUAAGUUCGAAGAAAACAAAAACGGGUUGACGCCACAAGGGUUACUUGAUAAGUCAGACCAGUCUUUGGAGAACAAUGAGAGUUGAAA